rnacentral:tRNA from 3 species
AAGAAAGUGACAGAGGGGUUAUGUGUCUGACUUGAAAUCAGAUUACGGGGGUUCAAUUCCCUCCUUUCUCG